CAGUGUUCCCAGCAUCUGAGAGAUACAGCUUUUGUAACAAUUCUUAGAGAAGUGCCACCACCUCUGGAAUGCAGUGCAGUCAAAUGGAAGGUUUUCUGCACAGCACAGAGAAGCGUGCUAAUGUGCUAUACUACCUGCCAAAUAUUUAUGCCAUCAGCUGUAACUUCAGAUAGAGGAGCAAGAAAGGAAAAGAAAAGAAAGCUGAUCUGGCACUCCAAUCAAAAGGGCUUUUUGAUGGAAGUUACUUGGUGCUAAGGUCAGACGCUGUCCUGAUGGUUUGGAAGAUAACAGGCUUCAGAUCUGUGGCCUUUACCUGCUCAAGAGCACCCAGCUCUCCAAGACAAUGACUCAGUUACUGCGAUUGCUCAGCUUUUAUUAAUGGUCUGACUGCAGCAAAGCUGCUCACUCGUGCUGCCUGCAGUGAUGAGAAUAGUUUCCUGCAAAGGCAGUGGAUGCAACCAGUGAGCACAUGGAGCAGCCAGAAACCAGUAACAAUCAUGUUUUGACCUGCUAAACUGACCCCAACGAGGGCUUUGGGCAGACCAAAGUCUUCCUGCACUGACCAGUGGAGUUUUGUUAUCUGUACCAUGGAUGUGGAGAGAAGACCUGGAAGCGAAUCAUGGAGGAUUUUAAGCAGAAUGCCAGCUGCUGUUUGGAGACCAUGCCAUGGUUCUCCUACAGCAAAGCCAUAAAGAAAAUCCUAGGCUUUUUAGAGUGUUUUCUAACCCCAACUACCUUUCUCCAUGGCACAGGAUCUUAACAGUCAUGCUAAAAUAUCUUGGGAGCAGAUGUGUUCUUACAAAAGAGAGAGAGAAAUUCACUACAGAAAGGGUUGGAGUGAAAGUCAGGCCCAGAUGAAGAAACAAAGGAGGAAAAGCAGCUAACAAAAGAGAAGCAGCUAUCACCAGCAUUUGUAAUGUUAGUCAUGGAGUGACUGUGCAUGUCCAGUCUUGAGUCAGUUUGUCACAACUUACUUGUUUAGGAUUGUUCUGAUUGGACAUUCUUUAGUGACACCCUCAAAUUUUUGAGACUUUGGACUUUUUAUUCCAUCCAAGUAUUAUAUUCUCACUACUCACUGCAGCAGAUUCUCACAUAUGAACUUGGUCCUCAUAUGUUUCAGGAGCUCUGAGAUUGCUGAGUAUUUAUAAAAACAGCAUGCAUUUCUCUAGGAUAUUCAUCUGUGGAAUCUGGUUCAACAUACCAUUCACUCUCACAUUCUUUCUAGGAGAUAAUUCACUGA